AGAAAUUUAGGUUAACAUAGACCAAAGGCCUUCAAAGCCUUAAGCGAAGGU
rnacentral:tRNA from 1 species